rnacentral:rRNA from 1 species
CAGCAGCCACGGUAAUCCGUAGGGGGCAAGCGUUAUCCGGAAUUAUUGGGCGUAAAGAGUACGUAGGUGGCUAUAUAAGCGCAUGGUGAAAGGCAGAGGCUUAACCACUGUUAGCCUUGCGAACUGUAUAGCUUGAGUGCAGGAGAGGGAAGCGGAAUUCCUAGUGUAGCGGUGAAAUGCGUAGAUAUUAGGAGGAACACCAGUGGCGAAGGCGGCUUUCUGGACUGUAACUGACGCUGAGGCUCGAAAGCCAGGGGAGCGAACAGGAUUAGAUACCCCAGUAGUCCCUGUCUCUUAUACA